AACUAACGCUGGCGGCGUGCCUAAUACAUGCAAGUCGAACGCGAAAGUCCUUCGGGAUGAGUAGAGUGGCGCACGGGUGAGAAACACGUGGGUAAUCUGCCCAGAAGUGGGGAAUAACUCCUCGAAAGAGGAGCUAAUACCGCAUAAGACCACGACAACUAAGGUUGUUGGGGUUAAAGGUGACCUCUGUUUACAAGUUAUCGUUUCUGGAUGAGCCUGCGCAACAUUAGAGAGUUGGUGGGGUAAUGGCCUACGAAUGCUACGAUGUUUAGCUGGUCUGAGAGGAUGAGCAGCCACACUGGAACUGAGACACGGUCCAGACUCCUACGGGAGGCAGCAGUAGGGAAUAUUGCUCAAUGGGGGAAACCCUGAAGCAGCAACGCCGCGUGAGUGAUGAAGGCCUUCGGGUCGUAAAGCUCUGUUGUACGGGGAGAACGUGGGUAUGGCUAACAUCCAUAUCCAGUGACGGUACCGUAUAAGAAAGGGACGGCUAACUUCGUGCCAGCCGCCGCCGUAA
rnacentral:rRNA from 1 species